ACUCAAAACUCAAAGGACUUGACGGUGUCCCAAACCAACCUAGAGGAGCCUGUCCUAUAAUCGAUAAUCCACGCUACACCUCACCCCCUCUCGAAACCAGUCUGUAUACCGCCGUCUUUCAGUUCGCCUUAUGACAGACCCAUAGCGAACACAACAGCCCAUCACUCAAACGUCAGGUCAAGGUGCAACUAAUGAGGGGGCAGCGAUGGGCUACAUUUUCUAUAACAGAACACCACCACCCACCACAUGAAACAUGGGCCAUAAGGCGGAUUUAGCAGUAAGCCAAACA
rnacentral:rRNA from 1 species